UUGGCGCAGGUGAGGAUGAGAGAGGGAGCGGAGCACCGGGGCACGAGCGUCCGAGGAUCGGCGAGCGACUGAUCGGGAUACCGGCCGGGGCCGCCUGAGCGAUGAGAGCUUCACCGAAAGGGGCACUUUGAGAUAUGAUGAGGUUUAUCUCUGGCCGGCAAUAGUACUAUGAUUUGGUAUGUGGCCACUUUGAUAGCAAGUGUAUUCAGCACCCGAGGAACGGCCGCUCAAGGUGCCCACGGAGUGCGAGAGGAGCCCCAGUUUGUGACGGCACGUGCAGGAGAGAGUGUCAUCCUGGGAUGCGACGUGUCCCACCCGCUGAACGGCCAGCCCUACGUGGUGGAGUGGUUCAAGUAUGGAAUGCCCAUUCCCUUUUUCAUCAACUUCCGCUUUUACCCUCCUCAUGUGGACCCGGAAUAUGCUGGCCGGGCCACUCUGCAUGGCAAGUCCUCCCUGCGGAUAGAGAACGUACGCUCAGACGACCAAGGAUGGUAUGAGUGCAAGGUGUUGAUGCUGGAGCAGCAGUAUGACACAUUUCACAACGGCAGCUGGGUGCACCUAACAGUCAACGCCCCACCCUCGUUCAUUGAUACCCCUCCGCAGUAUGUCGAGGCCAAAGAGGGGGGGAGCAUCACUUUGACCUGCGUUGCCUUUGGGAACCCCAAACCUUCAGUGAACUGGUUACGAGAAGGCAACCUCAUGGUCAGCAGUGCUAAAUACAAGGUGUCUGACGGGAGUCUGACGGUGCAGUCCAUCACACGGGAGGACCGUGGGGCUUACACAUGCAGAGCCUUCAGCCCGCAGGGAGAGGUCAUUCACACUACACGUCUGCUAGUGCAAGGCCCGCCUUUCAUCGUGUCGCCGCCAGAGAACAUAACAGUGAACAUCUCGCAGGAUGCCUUCUUCACCUGCCAGGCCGAGGCCUACCCACGAAACUUGACCUACACCUGGUUUUGGGAAGAGGACAACGUCUUCUUCAAGAAUGACCUGAAGCGCAGAGUCAGUAUUCUCAUCGACGGGUCGCUCAUCAUUGCCCAGGUCAAACCAGAGGAUGCUGGAAAAUACACCUGCGCUCCCAGCAACAGCCUGGGCCAACCACCGACUGCCUCAGCCUACCUGACAGUGCAAUAUCCCGCCCGCGUGGUGAACAUGCCAUCCGUCAUCUACGUGGCCAUCGGUCUGCCUGGAUUCAUCCGCUGCCCCGUGGACGCCAACCCCCCUGUUGUGAUGGUUAAGUGGAAGAAAGAUGGCCUCCCACUCCGGAUAGACAAGUACCCUGGAUGGAGCCAAAUGGAGGACGGCAGCAUCCGUGUGGCUGAGGUGACGGAGGACUCGCUGGGCACCUAUACCUGCAUGCCUUACAACGUCCUGGGUUCUAUGGGAUGGUCCCCGCCUGCUCCCCUGGUGCUAAAGGACCCUCCUAAAUUCUCAGUGGUCCCUGGAGGGGAGUACAGACAGGAAGUGGGCAGAGAACUGGUCAUCCCUUGUGAAGCUGAGGGAGACCCCUUUCCUAACAUCACGUGGAGGAAGGUUGGGAAGCCCAGUAAGAGUAAGCACAAUGUUCUGCCUCGAGGCAGCCUACAGUUCAAGUCCCUCACAAAGGAGGACCACGGAGAGUGGGAGUGUGUCGCCACCAACGUUGCCACGAGCAUCACUGCCAGCACUCAUGUCCAAGUCAUAGGCACAAGUCCUCAUGCCCCCUCCAGCGUCCACGCGGUGGCCUCCUCCACCUGGGCUAACGUGACCUGGGAGUCGGGCUACGACGGAGGUUUCCCGCAGACAUUCUCAGUCUGGUACGGCCAUGUGCUGAAGAGGGAGCGUUUAGGUCCACACGACUGGCUCUCCGUACCUGUGCCUGGAGGCCAUGACUGGAUGGUGGUGCCGGGAUUGGAGCCAGAGACGACGUACCAGUUCAGUGUCCUGGCCCAAAACAAGCUUGGCACGGGCCCCUUCAGCGAGGUUGUCACUGUGAACACACUAGUAUUUGCUGUAAGUACCCCCGAACCACUGGUGCUGCUUACCCCACCACGGUGCCUCACAGCCAAUCGCACGCAGCAGGGAGUGCUGCUCUCCUGGAUGCCACCUGCCAAUCACACAGCACCUGUCCAGCAUUACAUCAUGGAGUUUCGCCUCGGCGAGCGAUGGGAGGUUCUGGAUGACAGCAUUCCUGCUGGGGAGACGGAGCUGCUGGCCCGAGACCUCAUACAGGAAGCCUGGUACGAGUUCCGCGUCAUGGCGGUCAUGGAUGAGGUGAUCAGCGAGCCGAGCAACAUAGUUGGAGUUUCAAGUACAGACUUCUUCCCUCCUCCAGAAAUGGUGGAAGAAACUGGGCUGACCAGGCCAGUAGUCGCGGGCAUCGUGGCGACCAUCUGCUUCUUGGCAGCGGCCGUGCUCUUCAGUACGAUGGCGGCGUGCUUUGUCAACAAGCAACGGCGAAGGAAACUGAGAAGGAAAAGAGAUCCUCCUCUCUCCAUAACUCACUGCAGGAAAAGUGUUGAAACUCCGAGUCCACUUACUUUCAUUCCCAGUAUUGAUCCUUACUGGGAGGGGCUGGACGCAAGCAGGUACACAGCCCAAUCCUCCAGUCCUCUGUCUUCGUCUGGAAAAGGGAGCCCGGAGAGCGUUCGUUCAAAGGCCUCACCGUCUGAGUCCUCUGAAGAUAGCCACGACCCACGUGGGAGGAAGCCCCCUACAAGUCCGGGAAGGAGGGAGGAGUUGUCCUUAUACAAGAAGACCAAAAGAGCAAUAACAAGCAAGAAGUACACUAUCUCAAAACACGAACCUGAAGCAACAACACCCAUUGAACUCAUCAGCCGAGGCCCAGACGGACGCUUUGUCAUAGACCCAACUGAUGCAGAAAUGUCUGUGAAGCCCAGACGAAUUGAGGGCUUUCCAUUUGUCGAAGAAUCUGACCUUUACCCUGAAUUUCGGCAGUCAGACGAAGAAAAUGAUGACCUUAGGCCUCUGCCACCAGUCAUGGCACCCCUUCGGCCUCAUCAGGUUUCCCCAAUUUCGAGUCAGGAGUCCUAUCUACAACCUCCAGCCUACAGCCCUCGUUUCCACAGGCCCUUCGAAGGUAUGACCAUCAUGGAGAGCAGUCGGCUCCAGGCCACUGGACAAAUCCGAGGCUCACUCCAUCACAGGGCUUUCUAUGGCUAUCUAGGUCCCUCCGGGGAUCGUGAACCUCCACCUCCCUUUUACUUACCCGAUACAAGCCCACUCAGUUCUGUGAUGUCCUCCCCGCCUUACCUUGCUGAAGCUCCGUUUGGUCAUCCUAUAAUUCCUGAAGAAAUGACGGAGGGUGAUUUCUCACAAUAUGCCGUCUCUGGCUUUCCACUUCCCUAUACUCUUACAUCGUCUUCUCGUUCUCCAGAGAUUUGGCAGGGACUGGAUUUUACCUUUGCUAGUUUGGAGGGGCCCCAAUUCAUUUUUCCACCACCGCACCCUUUGCAUCUACGCCACGACUCGCCAUACCCCCCUGCACCUCACGUUCUUCCCCUGAGUGCUUUCCAACCUUCCCCUCUCCCAAUGCCAACCUAUCCAGCUGUGCUGCCACUCGAGGCUCCAAGAACCCUUUCGUACAAAUCUCCCAGCAAAGCAAAGCCUCAUGGUUCCCCAGCCAGGCAUUUAGCUAUGCAAGAGGAACAGUUAGGGCAGCUACGACACACAAGUCACACUAUGGGUGUUCCAGUUUUGCCUUAUUCAAGCCCAUUGGCCCACAUUGUCCCGAGUACAUUUAGUAGCCUGGACACUCGAUGGUUUGAAACCGCACCCAGAUUUAGUCCAAGACAGGCUCGGAGGAUGGAUUCUGGUGUGCAUCAGGUGGUCCUCCAACCCUCUCGUCUAUCACCGCUCACCCAAAGCCCCCUUAGUUCUCAUCAGGGCUCCCCUGAGAUUGUUGUACGUCCCAGACCCCGUCCGAGCAUUAUUCAACCUUCCAUACCUCCAGAGAUGUCUGAGAUUACACUCCUCCCUCCUUCCACAGCUAGCUUCUCAAGAAGAUCUUCCCCUUCCUCUUCACCUGCCCAAGGCCACGGUAGCAAAAGGGCAAGUCCGAACUACCGUACCCACAUGACCUAUGCCACCACUGCAGCCAGCUAUCCAGUUUCCCAGUCCCCAUCACCUCCCAUGGAAAGCAGCAACUUAUUUGGGCAGAUACGAUCUCAAAGGAGGACUGAGGAGGAGAUCCUUCCAUCUGAGCACUCUCCAUCCCAAUUGUCCACUUCAGGCUAUCUGGGCAGCGUUGUUGUGACCAGGUCCUCUACACCACAAUAGGUAAGGGUUGGAUCCAUGUCUGAAAGGGGGGGGUUAGCAGGUGGGACUUUUUUGAUCACCUCGUCCUUUAAAGGGGAAUACAAGACGUCAAGUCUUUGACUUGUUCCUUCCUACAGCCAGCCGUCUCAUUUCAGUAGUCUUUGAGUUCCCUUUGUUUUCUUUUUGUUUUCUGUUUUCUCAAAGUUGCUAUGCAUUUUAUGUUUCGCAGUCUUCAGUACAGGAUGUAUUCCGACUGACAGGCUUCUGUUAGCUCAGUGUUUCAGGUCAGAGAGGCAACACCAACAUGAUAUCAUGCUUGAGUCGUUUGCUAACUGAACUAUCAGUAACCUUUCCACCUCUUUACUCAAGACUAACUUACUACGUAAGGACAGUUAAGCCCGAGCAGGAUUUCAAAAAAUAUAAAUAUUUCAUGUGAACAAUUGAAAUGUGUUCCUCCAGAAUGGCAAAGUAGCAUCUGGAUUUGAAAUAGAUGGAGAGCAAUUACCAAUUCAAUGGCUUGAGUUGGAGUGUACGUACUACAUGUAUUUCUACUCAUUUUACCACUUGUAUGAUGAAAACAGUAGUAUAAUACUGUGAGUUUUCACCAUGAAGUUGGAAGUUUUUUGGUCAAUUGGAACCCUUUCUAGUUCCCGUCCCAUAAUAAGAAGUGCAACAACUAUAUAUAUAUAUAUAUAUAUAUAUAUAUAUAUAUAUAUAUAUAUGUUUUUUUACCACCAUACUUCUGAACUGGUUUAAACAGGCUUCAUACCAGGCCUAUACUAUCACUGACAACUCUAGUGUCAUUUUUUACAACCCUUUUAUAUAAAGUGAUGCAACAAUGAUGAAUGGCUAGUUACUUACCAUUGCUACUGCUACUUAGAUUGCACAAGAGUACUAACUGAGCCUCGAAGCACCGUAACUUUGAUCAGCACGUGUAUAUUGGGCAGAAGCCAGUUUCACUAGAAUUGGUUUGAGUAGGGGUGGCGAGUGUUGGACGUUCAUAAGGAGCUCAGCUAUGGACAGUGAGGGUCUUUUACCUGUGUCCCUAUCCUGAUAGUGAUCUUAGCAUCGUGCUAAGGGUUAGUUUGCUUUAGUUUUUCAAUGGAUGGGAGGAGUUAUUUUGUUCAUAGUCCUACAUUCUUCUUGUCUUCUCCCUCAACUUUCUAGGUCUUUUUUCUGUACUGUUGACACAAAUUUUCCUGCGUUCCAGUCUAGAGUACAGAGUGAUUGAGGACCUCUACGUCCUUAGAAAGGACAGUUCGGAUUUUUGCCUUUGCGGACAGCAGUUUGGAGGAGUCACUGCUGUCUGCCUCCUGUCACUGUUGACUGAAGUAUCUCAGAACUUCCAGCUCCUUGGUCCAGGUCUUGGCCUUUGGUUACAUAUGAACAAAGAGAAGCCAACAGCACAUGAAGUGACAUAGGCCAAAGCCGUACUUGUUGAAUGACAGCCUCUACCACUGGCCUUAGAGAGCCAGUGUUUUGUUUGCGAGUGGUUGCAGUAGUGUAUGUUUGAGGAAGGUAAUCAUCUCCAUGUGUGGUCUAUGAGACUGGAUCACAUUCUAUUUGCCUUUUCCUUAUGUAGAAGAGAUUCUGGUUUGUGCAAAAGUGGUUGAUUCAUGACCAGCCAAGAAGAAAUCUUGGAUGUGAAACGAUGGAUCAUCCGUUUGCAUAUGAUCCAUUGACCCUAAGCCAAUGCCCUUAGAGACAUUCCGCUGUCGUGUUCUUAGGACUAGCAGAAUUAGCAGGACUGCGGACCCAGAUACUGAUGCAGUCACAUGCACCUUACUUUUUAAAAACAUCAGCGUAAACAACACGCAGAAGAUGUUAUGUUGAUGUAGUACGUUAGUAAGUAAUUUAACAUGGAUUUGAAAACAUUUAUGGGCUGAUUUCCUAAAAUCCUUUGUUGCUCUAGGAAUGGGCGAUACAUUUUUAUCCACAGUUCAUCGCUGAAUGCAGUCCCCAGGAUGAGAAUGAAAUAUCACAAUACAUGUGAGAACUUAGAGCGUUGGCUUUGCAUGUUACGCCAUGUCGCUUAAACCCAUGUCGCUGUAAACCCAGACUAUAAGGCGCUACUUUUUUCUCGCGGUCUGAACCCUGCAGCUUACACGACGAUGCGGCUAAUACAUGGAUUUUUACGCUGGAUGCUCCAAAUGAUCGACCACUGAUUAUGAAAGGCUGAUAUCGGCGUCAUCGGUGAAUGCUCAUUGCUGAUCACAAAAUCUGUUCACAUGUGACAGCCGGCGCUCUGAUGAAGCACCGCCCGCGGUUUGCGAAGCGCACAAGCAUGUUAAAAGGCGUCAACGCCACAAAUUCAACAUUAUUUAAAACACCAGCACUAGACGGAGCACAGAGAGUGUUCUGGUUCACAUGACAGUGAAACUGCAGGAACCAGCGGUCACUCGCAGACACUCGCCGGUCUGAGCGUGACAUUCGGAACGGAAAGCAUAUUACCCAAGAAAUAAUCAUUAAUUUCACCGCGCCAGAUGAGCAGCCUUUCUCGGGUGUCGUUUUAAGAUGGAAUCAACCGCGACCGAAUCCGCUGCUGUUUUGUGUGUGUCAGAUGCAGUGUUCGCGGUCCACCAGCUGAAUCUGAAACUUUUGCAAAUGUCCAGAGUGGGAACUUUCAUGAAAGAGGUUGAAGACAGCUGCUUCCGCUGAGUGCUCUCCCUGUCUUUCGGAGCAUCCGUAGUUCAGCCUCAUGCUGGCAAAAAUAUUGAGCCUCGUCACAUCAAACCGAUGACGUCACGGGCGUUUUAUUUACCUUUAAAGCGCUCAAAUUUCACCUGCGUGACCGCAGCUCUUCCAGCAGAGGCGGUCUACUGAAGGGUGAAAACAGUGCUUUUUGAACACUUUAGAUGUAAAUAAGACGUGAGGAGUUCAUAAUUGAACAAGUCUCGCGACAACGCAACACUGCACUGUUUAUCAAAAACAAUCUUGAAACAAGGGUGCAUCCGAGGACGUCGGCAACAUUUUUCCAUCCACUGAGUUAGUGAAUACAUUUGAAACACAGUACACAAAGACCCAAGUUCUGCUUGAAACAUUUGCCUCAGGAUUUCUUACUUAGACUAUGAGUGACCUGUAAUGUCUAGUAUUUCCUUCAUGAGAACAUUCUGAAUCGCGUGUCAAAUUGCAUUUUCUUUGUAGCAAAAUGAUUCGUUGAAAUGCAAACCUUCGCAUGCUGUCUUGAUAAAUUCCUCUGUACGUAUUUUAGCAUGAGCUAACACAUCUUUAGCACGCACCUUUAGCAAAUCUGCCCCUAAAUGUGUGUCUCCCAGUUGUUGUUUUGUUGUUUCAGUACUGCCUUUCAGUACAGAGUACAGAACUUGUAUCCACAUUCGAUUUCAUUCCGACUCACAUUCAAGAUUGUCUUAUGAAAGUUAGUGCAUUUGUCCCGUUUGUUACCACAUCCAUCACUAAAAGGCUGCAGAAUUCUUAUCAUUCGCAGAUGACACUUAACCUUCUUAGCAUUCUCCUCAAGCGUGACACAACAUAUUCUUGUUAGAGACCUACAGGUGCUAUUGACCUGUGACACCUUAGCUUCUAUAGAAUAUUAGCUACAGGUGAUCUCCCAAAGAUCUAUGUCAGUAAGGUACAUUCUUGGACUUGCUGUUCAGUCUUAUCUUCAGAGUUAUGCCAGAACUGUUACUCUUAUAGUCCAGAAGAGGUUUAGAUACCAGCUCAUGGACCAUGACCAGAACUACCGACCUACAUUAGCUACAUUUUCUCCGAACUUGUUUGAAUCCACAGAGUGUAGCAUCCGCUUUAGCAAUGGGGCAAAGUGCCCCUAAAUCUAGUUUCAACUCAAACCUAAGCAAGUCCCCCACAACAACACUCGUACAAGUUAAGGUGCUUAGGCUUUGAGGACUGCCUCUGUUUUAGCAACUGUCCGACGAAGUGCUUUUGAAUGUAUUCCCCUUUAAAGUCGUGUUCCAUGUGCAAACUGCCAUGCAUGCCAUUGCUAAAUAUUGCUGUUCCGUUUCAAAAAAAAAAAAAAAAAAAAAAAGAACCAACGCUCCGGAUAAAUUCUUGUUACAUUUGUUGUCCAAGUGCUUCGCUUUUCUUUGGCAUAUUUUUCAUUAUGUGACUGUUCCCGAGUAGUCAUUUCCCUCCCGCCAUCUCUCCCCCUGUCAGCAUGGUGAAGCCCAUUGUAGACAGUAUCCAUGUCUAUGGAAACAUAUUGAUGAUGCUUUGUUGCUCAGCUGUGAUUCUCCCCCUCUACUAACAGCCUUCAGUUUCUUUCUGCAGUCACAGUGGGAAGAUGGCCUCUUUGUAAUGCUCUUUGUUUGCUGUGCGUUGAGAACAGUGCAGCACAGUGUGUGUGCGCACGUGUGUCAGAACUCUCUAAGCUGCCAUGUUGUAAGUCACUUCCUGGGAAAACUAUUCAAGUAUUACUCGGCAUCUGUUGCUUUCAGAGAGAUUCAGUGUUCUAGAAAAUAUAUCCAAGUUCAGUUAAUAUAAUAUAUUUCAUAUAUAUAUAUAUAUAUAUAUAUAUAUAUAUAUAUAUAUAUAUAUAUAGGUAGUUUUCUCUCUGAAAUCAAAGGUGCAGUUUUUCUUCAGUUGAACAGUGUAAUCUUUUCUAUGAGGUAACUAUGCUAGCAGCGGAUCUUAGCUAGCUUAGCUUGCAUCUCAUUUGGUUGACUAUUGUUCGGAUCAAUUUGAGCCUCACACCGACGAAAAGUCGUCCCUUCUCUUGCUUUCAUGAAUGGAAUCAUGAUGAGAAACAAAAAAAAGUACAAAAAAGGGACAAAAAAAUACUUGAACUAAGACCACAACUUGCUAUUUUGCAAACACCUUUUUUUUAAGUUUUUUUGAGGUGAGGUUCCUUCCUUUUUUUAGCAAACUCUUCUAUACAUUUAUCUGUGGCUGACUGCGAAACAAGCAACACAGACUGAUAAACAGGCAGCUGGACGACUAUUGAAGUGGAUGAGGACUUGCACUGACACCCAAUAAACUGUUGAGGGCAGCAUCUACUCCAGCUGUAAAGAUGCAAAAAUUUUUUUUUUUAAGUAAUUAAAAAAAUAAAAUAAAUUAGAAUAAGAAUAAAAGAAUAAGAAUAAAGACUUAUUUUAAUACAAUGUCGAAUUGUUGCAGUUGCAAAAUACAGCCCUUUCCUCCCUUUAUAUCGUAUGUGUUGGAAAUAUAAUGUAUUAGUGGCCUUUGACUUUUAAGUGUGAUGUGUGGAACUGAUGACAUGGACACAACCACUGGAUCAUGAUUCCAUUCAGAAGCAUCCAGAGGGACAACGUCGCGCAGAGUUGGAUGCUCUUGACUGGUACUGUGUGUUCCUAAAAGGACCAAACGCAUUUACGGUAUUCAAAUUGACCUUAGAGAGUGUAAUGGCUGGCAGCUUUCAGACAGCGUAAAAGGGUUUGGUUCUCAUCUCACUGUGCAUCGAAAACAACUUCAGGCGUCUCGCAUUGAUCCUCUGGCCAUGUGCUGCGCCUCCUGCUUUAACUCCAGCUGCUGAGGUUGUGUGGGUUCAUGAGUUUGUCUAGACUUCAGUGCACUUCCGUUGCUUGGCCUGGAGUUGCCCAUUUUCCCCUCUCUGUCUUCUUCUCUUUCCAUCUGGCAUCCAGAAAACGUCGAGGUGCGCCGAGUGCCCUUUCGGGGUCUGAGAGGAUUGAUGCACUGAGAUACCAACGUAUCAAGAAGGCCAAGAAGAUGACAAUGAACAACAAUAACUCCAAGAGCCGAAAGAAAACAGGUGUCUCCACCUCUCAGACCCAGCAGGCCU